rnacentral:rRNA from 1 species
UACGUAGGGUGCGAGCGUUAAUCGGAAUUACUGGGCGUAAAGCGUGCGCAGGCGGUGGCUCAAGCCAGGCGUGAAAUCCCCGGGCUCAACCUGGGAACUGCAUCUGUGACUGCAUCGCUGGAGUGCGGCAGAGGGGGAUGGAAUUCCGCGUGUAGCAGUGAAAUGCGUAGAUAUGCGGAGGAACACCGAUGGCGAACGGCAAUCCCCUGGGCCUGCACUGACGCUCAUGCACGAAAGCGUGGGGAGCAAACAGG